CUUCGAUCUUGGUUGUGGAAUGCGGGAUCUUUAGUUGUGGUAGGCGAACUCUUAGUUGCGGCAUGUGGGGUCCAGUUCCCUGACCAGGGAUGGAACC
rnacentral:pre_miRNA from 1 species